ACAAAUUACCCUGCGCAAAGUUUCUCAACAAUCUUGAGAUUUUAUCAUUCUCCCCUUUCUUCCUGCCAACACAUCUUUAGUUUGGAUAAAUAGCACUGUGAAGGCAACCAGCGACAUCUUCAGUUUGGAUAGAUAGAACUGGAGCCGUAGAAUCAGCCGAUCGAGGAUCACCUUCAGUUUGGAUAGACAACACUGCUUCUCGACCGAAUGGUUAUUUAUCCAAGUCUC
rnacentral:lncRNA from 1 species